UACGUAGGGCGCAAGCGUUGUCCGGAAUUAUUGGGCGUAAAGAGCUCGUAGGUGGCUUGUCACGUCGGGUGUGAAAGCUUGGGGCUUAACUCCAGGUCUGCAUUCGAUACGGGCUGGCUAGAGGUAGGUAGGGGAGAACGGAAUUCCUGGUGUAGCGGUGAAAUGCGCAGAUAUCAGGAGGAACACCGGUGGCGAAGGCGGUUCUCUGGGCCUUACCUGACGCUGAGGAAGCGAAGG
rnacentral:rRNA from 1 species